rnacentral:rRNA from 1 species
UUAGAAGCAGCCAUCCUUUAAAGAAAGCGUAACAGCUCACUGGUCUAAAUAAGAGGUCUUGCGGCGAAGAUGUAACGGGGCUCAAGCCACGAGCCGAAGCUUUGGGUGUGCAUUUAUGCACGCGGUAGCGGAGCGUUCUGUGAUAUAGAACGCUGCCUCCUUAGUAUCCUCGGAUACAUUGGAGGCAUUGUUCUGACUGUGAAGCCGGGCUGUAAGGCAUCCGGUGGAGUGAUCAGAAGCGAGAAUGUUGACAUGAGUAGCGACAAACAGGGUGAGAGACCCUGUCGCCGAAAGUCCAAGGGUUCCUGCUUAAAGCUAAUCUGAGCAGGGUAAGCCGGCCCCUAAGGCGAGGCCGAAAGGCGUAGUCGAUGGGAACCAGGUUAAUAUUCCUGGGCCAGGAGAUGGUGACGGAUCAUAGAGGUAGUUCGGUCUUAACGGAUUGAUCGGGCUGCUGAGUGGUCCCUGGAAAUAGCCCUCCAUGAGACCGUACCCUAAACCGACACAGGUGGACUGGUAGAGAAUACCAAGGCGCUUGAGAGAACCACGUUUAAGGAACUCGGCAAAAUGCUCCCGUAAGUUCGCGAGAAGGGAGCCCCGUCUGUACGCAAGUAUGGGCGGGGGGCACAAACCAGGGGGUGGCGACUGUUUACUUAAAACACAGGGCUGUGCGAAGCCGUAAGGCGACGUAUACAGUCUGACGCCUGCCCGGUGCUGGAAGGUUAAAAGGAGGGGUGCAAGCUCCGAAUUGAAGCCCCGGUAAACGGCGGCCGUAACUAUAACGGUCCUAAGGUAGCGAAAUUCCUUGUCGGGUAAGUUCCGACCUGCACGAAUGGCGUAACGAUCUCCCCGCUGUCUCUAACGUGGACUCAGCGAAAUUGAACUGUGUGUCAAGAUGCACACUACCCGCGGUUAGACGGAAAGACCCCAUGCACCUUUACUCCAGCUUUGCACUGGCAUCAGGAUUGUGAUGUGCAGGAUAGGUGGUAGGCUUCGAAGCGGGAACGCCAGUUUCCGUGGAGCCUCCCUUGAGAUACCACCCUUCGCACUCUUGAUGUCUAACCGCGGCCCGUUAUCCGGGUCCGGGACCCUGCGUGGUGGGUAGUUUGACUGGGGCGGUCGCCUCCCAAAGAGUAACGGAGGCGCGCGAAGGUUGGCUCAGAGCGGUCGGAAAUCGCUCGUUGAGUGCAAUGGCAGAAGCCAGCCUGACUGCGAGACUGACAAGUCGAGCAGAGUCGAAAGACGGCCAUAGUGAUCC